GCGGGUAUAGCUCAGUUGGUAGAGCGCCAGCCUUCCAAGCUGGAUGCACGGGUUCGAGUCCCGUUACCCGCU
rnacentral:tRNA from 1 species